AAACAUUUCUCACAAAAAAGACUCAGUUUAGUGCGUUGCGUUCAUUUUAUGGUUUUUAUUACUUUUUUGAAAAAGAAAUAAUUAAAAGAACGCCGAUUAUCCGCAUUUCGAGGUAAUCACCAAGAAUACGAAUAACCAGAGAACCGGAGAGCCACAUGACAAACCGAUCCUUUUUCAUUCUAUUUUUAUUAAAAAAAGACAAGUUUCUUUUUUAUCACACAAAUAACUUAACAAAAGAGAUAAACUAUUCUAACAUAUUUCACACAAAUAACUCAACAAAAAAGGAUAAACUAUUCUAGCAUACUAAACCCUAAAAAAACAAUCUAACAUAUUUCCACCUUUUUAUACUAAAAGAAAUAAAAAUACGAAAGAUAAAACACUAGAAAAGGAUAAAAAAAAACACAUUUUUUAGGUCGGGGGGGUGUAAAUAGCAGAUCUGGGCUGCACAGGGGGUGUGGAUAGCAGAACAAAAAUUAAUCAGGUACAGCGUUAAGAUAAGGGUGUAUGGUAGGCUUCCCGGAUCUAGGCCUUUUGAUUUGAUCAAAUGGCUUGGAUUUAAAAAUCCACUAACAGAUCUCGGCCUCACAUCCGAUCUAACGAUUGUGUNNNNNNNNNNNNNNNNNNNNNNNNNNNNNNNNNNNNNNNNNNNNNNNNNNNNNNNNNNNUCAACCUCACGCAUGGUGAAGAAAAAGAAGCCAUUGAAGCUUCAUCGAAGCUCUCGGCUCCAACAACAACAUCAUCGAUUCUUCGUCAAAAUUUACAAAUGAGUAUACGAUUUUGCUCGGUUUUUCACGUAGAUCGUGAAUAUAAACUUAGAUUUUUCAAAAGAUGUUUGUAACUCAAAAACGGUUCGAAACUUUAAAACCCAAAAAAACUUUAAAUUUCACAUUUGUACGAUUUAAGCAAAAUCAAGGGUCGGAAAAGCUUCAUAUGAUAUUCAGGAGUAAAAAGCGUUUAGAAUCUUACCGGUUUCGAGCUUUGUUUUGGUGGGUUAACACCUACUCUUCUCUUUGCUAUUUUGAACUUUGAGUAAGCUCCUCUUGACGGUUUUCCUUCGUUUUUAUUGUUGUUUCAAGCUACUGGAAGUGAUUAGAGGCUUUUGGGUGAAGAAGAUUGAAGUUUGGAAGGUGUUUGAGUCAAUUUCGGAUUUUGGAAAAGUGAUGAAAAAAUGAGAUUUUUUUGGUUUUUCUCUUCUCUGUUCCUCCCAAAAAUCGCCUCCUCAUGCUCUGAAAUGUUACCUCUACUUAUACUAGAAAAUUAGGGUUUGAGUGGCCAAGAAGGGAAGGAAAAGCUCCACCUUUAAUCAAUGGUGAAGCCUUGAUCAAAUUAGGGAAAAAGUUAAAAUUUUGAGUUUGAAUGGGAGAAGGAAGUGCUGCCAAUGUUGUUGCAAGUGUUUCACGUGUUCUGUUCUGCUUGUUUCUUU
rnacentral:lncRNA from 1 species